AUUGAACGCUGGCGGCAGGCCUAACACAUGCAAGUCGAACGAGUGGCGGACGGGUGAGUAAUGUCUGGGAAACUGCCCGAUGGAGGGGGAUAACUACUGGAAACGGUAGCUAAUACCGCAUACCAUCGGAUGUGCCCAGAUGGGAUUAGCUAGUAGGUGGGGUAACGGAUAACCUAGGCGACGAUCCCUAGCUGGUCUGAGAGGAUGACCAGCCACACUGGAACUGAGAAACGGUCCAGACUCCUACGGGAGGCAGCAGUGGGGAAUAUUGGACAAUGGGCGCAAGCCUGAUGCAGCCAUGCCGCGUGUAUGAAGAAGGCCUUCGGGUUGUAAAGUACUUUAAGCGGGGAGGCGUUACUCGCAGAAUAAGCACCGGCUAACUCCGUGCCAGCAGCCGCGGUAAUUC
rnacentral:rRNA from 1 species